AUGCACGCUGGCGGCGUGCCUAAUACCUGCAAGUCGAGCGAACGGACGAGAAGCUUGCUUCUCUGAUGUUAGCGGCGGACGGGUGAGUAACACGUGGAUAACCUACCUAUAAGACUGGGAUAACUUCGGGAAACCGGAGCUAAUACCGGAUAAUAUUUUGAACCGCAUGGUUCAAAAGUAAAAGACGGUCUUGCUGUCACUUAUAGAUGGAUCCGCGCUGCAUUAGCUAGUUGGUAAGGUAACGGCUUACCAAGGCAACGAUGCAUAGCCGACCUGAGAGGGUGAUCGGCCACACUGGAACUGAGACACGGUCCAGACUACUACGGGAGGCAGCAGUAGGGAAUCUUCCGCAAUGGGCGAAAGCCUGACGGAGCAACGCCGCGUGAGUGAUGAAGGUCUUCGGAUCGUAAAACUCUGUUAUUAGGGAAGAACAUAUGUGUAAGUAACUGUGCACAUCUUGACGGUACCUAAUCAGAAAGCCACGGCUAACUACGUG
rnacentral:rRNA from 1 species